rnacentral:tRNA from 1 species
CCACAAAUGGAAUUCCCUUUAAAGA